AGUGAACGCCGGCGGUAGGCCUAACACAUGCAAGUCGAACGGCAGCACAGUAAGAGCUUGCUCUUACGGGUGGCGAGUGGCGGACGGGUGAGGAAUACAUCGGAAUCUACUUUUUCGUGGGGGAUAACGUAGGGAAACUUACGCUAAUACCGCAUACGACCUACGGGUGAAAGCAGGGGAUCUUCGGACCUUGCGCGAUUGAAUGAGCCGAUGUCGGAUUAGCUAGUUGGCGGGGUAAAGGCCCACCAAGGCGACGAUCCGUAGCUGGUCUGAGAGGAUGAUCAGCCACACUGGAACUGAGACACGGUCCAGACUCCUACGGGAGGCAGCAGUGGGGAAUAUUGGACAAUGGGCGCAAGCCUGAUCCAGCCAUACCGCGUGGGUGAAGAAGGCCUUCGGGUUGUAAAGCCCUUUUGUUGGGAAAGAAAAGCAGCAGGUUAAUACCCCGCUGUUCUGACGGUACCCAAAGAAUAAGCACCGACUAACCUCGUG
rnacentral:rRNA from 1 species